UGGGGAAUCUUCCGCAAUGGGCGAAAGCCUGACGGAGCAACGCCGCGUGAGUGAAGACGGCCUUCGGGUUGUAAAGCUCUGUUAUACGGGACGAAUAGUCUUGUGGUUAAUACCCAUGAGAAGUGACGGUACCGUAAGAGAAAGCCACGGCUAACUACGUGCCAGCAGCCGCGGUAAUACGUAGGUGGCAAGCGUUGUCCGGAAUUAUUGGGCGUAAAGGGCGCGCAGGCGGCUUCUUAAGUCUGUCUUAAAAGUGCGGGGCUUAACCCCGUGAUGGGAUGGAAACUGGGAAGCUCAGAGUAUCGGAGAGGAAAGCGGAAUUCCUAGUGUAGCGGUGAAAUGCGUAGAUAUUAGGAGGAACACCAGUGGCGAAAGCGGCUUUCUGGACGAAAACUGACGCUGAGGCGCGAAAGCCAGGGGAGCGAACGGGAUUAGAUACCCCGGUAGUCCUGGCCGUAAACGAUGGGUACUAGGUGUAGGAGGUAUCGACCCCUUCUGUGCCGGAGUUAACGCAAUAAGUACCCCGCCUGGGGAGUACGGCCGCAAGGUUG
rnacentral:rRNA from 1 species